UUGGAGGGCAAGUCUGGUGCCAGCAGCCGCGGUAAUUCCAGCUCCAAUAGCGUAUAUUAAAGUUGUUGCAGUUAAAAAGCUCGUAGUUGAAUUUCGGGAUCGACGGGUCGGUCGCGCCUCUGGUGUGUACUGGCCCUGUCGGUUUCUCCCUUCUGACGAACCACGAUGUCAUUAAUUUGGUGUCGUGGGAAAUCAGGACUGUUACUUUGAAAAAAUUAGAGUGUUUAAAGCAGGCAUUCGCUUGAAUACAUUAGCAUGGAAUAAUGAAAUAGGACGUUUGAUCUUAUUUUGUUGGUUUCUAAGAUCGACGUAAUGAUUAAUAGGGAUAGUUGGGGGCAUUAGUAUUCAAUUGUCAGAGGUGAAAUUCUUGGAUUUAUUGAAGACUAACUACUGCGAAAGCAUUUGCCAAGGAUGUUUUCAUUAAUCAAGAACGAAAGUUAGGGGAUCGAAGACGAUCAGAUACCGUCGUAGUCUUAACCAUAAACUAUGCCGACUAGGGAUCGGAUGAUGUUAAUUUUUUGAUGACUCAUUCGGCGCCUUACGGGAAACCAAAGUGUUUGGGU
rnacentral:rRNA from 1 species